UGCAUUAGUCAUGGCACACAGUACA
rnacentral:misc_RNA from 1 species